GAGCGGAAAUUUAAACAACGUCGAUAACUCGUCGGGAUCGGUUCCGCACAGACGUAGAUUCCCAACGAGAAACUGGCGUCACGGAAGCGGGUUUGUGAGAUCAAGCGAACCGAAAAAAAGAAGGAUUUUUCCUCCACACGAUUUACCUAGGCAUCCCAAAAUAAUUAAUAACAUUCAAAUCGUGCUGAACGGCAAUGACAGCGCGCCGGCGAAAAAUUCUUCCGAAUGUGGCGUGUGUAACGUGUCCGUUUCCUCGAAAACGGACGAUAAUGGAAAUAUCGUGACCGAGGUGCAUCUCAGCAUCGUCACGAACGCAAACUCAAAUGUUAAAAACGACGAAGUUCCGGUGAUCGAUGGUUUUCGAGGUGUUGCUGAAGAUGACGAGCAGCUAAUUUUUCACCCGAUUCACGCGCCGGAUUUGCAUCUGCCGCAAGAGAACAUCCCACAGGUGACGAAACUUUUUUAUUCUAUUGUAUGCGAGAGUUAAUGUUGUUUUUAAAUAGUCGAUGUAAGUAAUUGAAAAACUUGUAUUUUUAAUAUCUACAAUUUAGAGAGACAAAGUUUACACUCUUCUUUUGUAUUGUGUAACAGAUUCAAUCUAAUAAUCAAGGAUACGGGAAUUCCUUGUAUCAGCAUCGGCGAACUUUUCAACGACCGCCGACGUAUUGGAAUUACCGUAACUACGAGGAUCGCGGUAACGCGGGAUUUCGAGGACGUAAGACCUGGACGCGAGAGAGACCCGUGGUGGACGACAAAAUUGAACCUCCGCUCAGCAAGACCAAAUUCAGUGACAAUUGACUCGGCAAAAUUGUCGUGGAACAUCGAAUCCAUUUAAUUGCGCAAAAUCUUUGUCUCGUCACGUAUUAAACGCUGCCAUACAAAAUAAACGUGUUUCGAUAUGUAUAUCGUGUCACAGAGUCGUUAUACAACAAAAUAAAUAAAAUCAUAUAUAAAAGCACGUGUGUAACUUUACUUAAUGCGCACACAAAUACAAUAAAAUUUUUUUAUAUAUUAUACUUUAAAGUAACAAGCAAAUAAACACGUGUAAAAAUUAAAUGCACAACAUGUUGUUAAAAAAAUUGCAUUUGACCGCUCAAGUAAAACGCAAUGAUGUCAACGCAAGACGCUUCUCAUUACAGAUAGAUAAAAGUAAGAAAUUUUUUCUCGACGAGCAGAAAAU